UACGGAGGGUGCAAGCGUUGUCCGGAAUCACUGGGCGUAAAGGGCGCGUAGGCGGCUCGGUAAGUAGGGGGUGAAAUCCUGCGGCUUAACCGCAGGGCUGCCUUCUAAACUGUCGAGCUUGAGCACGGUAGAGGCAGAUGGAAUUCCCGGUGUAGCGGUGGAAUGCGUAGAGAUCGGGAAGAACAUCAGUGGCGAAGGCGCUCUGCUAGGCCGUAACUGACACUGAGGGACGAAAGCUAGGGGAGCGAAUGGG
rnacentral:rRNA from 1 species